rnacentral:rRNA from 1 species
CCUACGGGAGGCAGCAGCCAAGAAUAUUCCGCAAUGGGGGGAACCCUGACGGAGCGACACUGCGUGAAUGAUGAAGGCCUUCGGGCUGUAAAGUUCUUUUAUAAGGGAAGAAUAAGUUAGAGAGGAAAUGCUUUAAUGAUGACGGUACCUUAUGAAUAAGUCCCGGCUAAUUACGUGCCAGCAGCCGCGGUAAUA